UGAAGUCACACUCAGUGGAU
rnacentral:snRNA from 1 species